rnacentral:rRNA from 1 species
GACAGAGGGUGCAAACGUUGUUCGGAAUUACUGGGCGUAAAGCGCGUGUAGGCGGUUCGGAAAGUCGGAUGUGAAAGCCCUGGGCUCAACCCAGGAAGUGCACUCGAAACUCCCGAACUGGAGUCCUGGAGAGGAAGGCGGAAUUCUCGGUGUAGAGGUGAAAUUCGUAGAUAUCGAGAGGAACAUCGGUGGCGAAGGCGGCCUUCUGGACAGCGACUGACGCUGAGACGCGAAAGCGUGGGGAGCAGACAGG